CCUACGUGAGGCAGCAGUGAGGAAUAUUGGUCAAUGGCCGGAAGGCUGAACCAGCCAAGCCGCGUGAAGGACGAAGGUGCCAAGCAUUGUAAACUUCUUUUGUCAAGGGACAAAAUCAGGCACGAGAGCCUGACCGAGGGUACUUGAAGAAAAAGCAUCGGCUAACUCCGUGCCAGCAGCCGCGGUAAUACGGAGGAUGCGAGCGUUAUCCGGUUUUAUUGGGUUUAAAGGGUGCGUCGGCGGGCUGUUCAGUCAGCGGUAAAAGCCCGGGGCUCAACCCCGGCGAGCCGUUGAAACUGGCUGUCUUGAGCUGUCGAGAGGUAUGCGGAAUGCGCAGUGUAGCGGUGACAUGCUUCGCUCUUGCGCAGAACUCCGAUUGCGCAGGCAGCAUACCGGCUGCGCUCUGACGCUGAGGCACGAAAGCGUGGGUAUCGAACAGGAUUAGAUACCCUAGUAGUC
rnacentral:rRNA from 1 species